UACAGAGGGUGCGAGCGUUAAUCGGAAUUACUGGGCGUAAAGCGUGCGCAGGCGGUUCUGCAAGUCAGAUGUGAAAUCCCCCGGGCUUAACCUGGGAACUGCGUUUGAAACUACGGAGCUAGAGUGCGGCAGAGGGGGGGUGGAAUUCCACGUGUAGCAGUGAAAUGCGUAGAUAUGUGGAGGAACACCGAUGGCGAAGGCAGCCCCCCUGGGCCGACACUGACGCUCAGGCACGAAAGCGUGGGGAGCAAACAGG
rnacentral:rRNA from 1 species